UACGUAGGGUGCAAGCGUUGUCCGGAAUUAUUGGGCGUAAAGAGCUCGUAGGCGGUUUGUCGCGUCGAAUGUGAAAACCCGGGGCUCAACCCCGGGCCUGCAUUCGAUACAGACAGACUAGAGUUCGGUAGGGGAGUCUGGAAUUCCUGGUGUAGCGGUGAAAUGCGCAGAUAUCAGGAAGAACACCCGUGGCGAAAGCGGCUCUCUGGAACGGUACUGACGCUGAGACGCGAAAGCGUGGGGAGCGAACAGG
rnacentral:rRNA from 1 species